GUCCCUUCUUGGCCUUUUGGCUAAGAUCAAGUGUAGUAUCUGAAUGAGCCUCCAACACUUAUUAGGUCUUUGGUCCUAAGCAAAUGACUUUAGUUCUCAGUGCUUCAGUUUCUUCAUCUGUAAAAUGGGUAUAAUAAUAUUUAUAUUCUCUUCCUUGCAGGAUUAUAAGGAAAUUACUUACAAAUCUUAAAUACA